rnacentral:rRNA from 1 species
UGGGGAAUAUUGGACAAUGGGCGCAAGCCUGAUCCAGCAAUGCCGCGUGAGUGAUGAAGGCCUUAGGGUUGUAAAGCUCUUUCGCACGCGACGAUGAUGACGGUAGCGUGAGAAGAAGCCCCGGCUAACUUCGUGCCAGCAGCCGCGGUAAUACGAAGGGGGCUAGCGUUGUUCGGAAUUACUGGGCGUAAAGGGCGCGUAGGCGGCCUGUUUAGUCAGAAGUGAAAGCCCCGGGCUCAACCUGGGAAUAGCUUUUGAUACUGGCAGGCUUGAGUUCCGGAGAGGAUGGUGGAAUUCCCAGUGUAGAGGUGAAAUUCGUAGAUAUUGGGAAGAACACCGGUGGCGAAGGCGGCCAUCUGGACGGACACUGACGCUGAGGCGCGAAAGCGUGGGGAGCAAACAGAUUAGAUACCCUGUAGUCCACGCCGUAAACGAUGAAUGCUAGACGUCGGGGUGCAUGCACUUCGGUGUCGCCGCUAACGCAUUAAGCAUUCCGCCUGGGGAGUACGGCCGCAAGGUUAAAACUCAAAUGAAUUGACGGGGUCAUAGCUGUUUCCU